rnacentral:rRNA from 1 species
CCGACGGUGAGGGGUGAAAGCGUGGGGAGCAAACCGGAUUAGAUACCCGGGUAGUCCCAGCUGUAAACUAUGCAAACUCAGUGAUGCAUUGGCUUGUGGCCAAUGCAGUGCUGCAGGGAAGCCGUUAAGUUUGCCGCCUGGGAAGUACGUACGCAAGUAUGAAACUUAAAGGAAUUGGCGGGGGAGCACCACAAGGGGUGAAGCCUGCGGUUCAAUUGGAGUCAACGCCAGAAAUCUUACCCGGAGAGACAGCAGAAUGAAGGUCAAGCUGAAGACUUUACCAGACAAGCUGAGAGGUGGUGCAUGGCCGUCGCCAGCUCGUGCCGUGAGAUGUCCUGUUAAGUCAGGUAACGAGCGAGAUCCCUGCCUCUAGUUGCCACCAUUACUCUCAGGAGUAGUGGGGCGAAUUAGCGGGACCGCCGCAGUUAAUGCGGAGGAAGGAAGGGGCCACGGCAGGUCAGUAUGCCCCGAAACUCUGGGGCCACACGCGGGCUGCAAUGGUAGCGACAAUUGGUUUCGAAUCCGAAAGGAUGAGGUAAUCCACAAACGCUACCACAGUUAUGACUGAGGGCUGCAACUCGCCCUCACGAAUAUGGAAUCCCUAGUAACUGCGUGUCAUUAUCGCGCGGUGAAUACGUCCCUGCUCCUUGCACUCACCGCCCGU